GACGAACGCUGGCGGCGUGCUUAAUACAUGCAAGUCGAACGGAAAGGCCCUGCUUUUGUGGGGUGCUCGAGUGGCGAACGGGUGAGUAACACGUGAGUAACCUGCCCUUGACUUUGGGAUAACUUCAGGAAACUGGGGCUAAUACCGGAUAGGAGCUCCUGCUGCAUGGUGGGGGUUGGAAAGUUUCGGCGGUUGGGGAUGGACUCGCGGCUUAUGAGCUGGUUGGUGGGGUAGUGGCUUACCAAGGCUUUGACGGCUAGCCGGCCUGAGAGGGGGACCGGCCACAAUGGGACUAAGGUACGGACCAGUAUGGAACGGUACGCAACAGGCGGAAAUAUUACGGAGUAGGCGGAAGCCAGAGACGACGACGCCGCGUGCGGGAUGACCGGCUUCUAGUGAUAAACCACUUUCGACUGUGACGAAGCGUGAGUGACGGUAAUGGAUAAAAAAGCACCGGCUAACUACGUG
rnacentral:rRNA from 1 species